UGUUACCAUAAAGCACCAAUGCUGCAGCAAGCAAAGGCUUUAGCAGCUCAGCCAGCUGCUUGUGGCUGGAAAGCCAGACAGGAUGUUUGUGACUGUUGCCAUGGGAACAAAGGGGCAGUCCAUUCUGUACUGAGCACCGGAUGUUAGCUCAGUGUGUGUGUGUCAUAUGACCCGUACUGGAUGUACUUGGGAGGAGUUUCUUCUUGCUGUUGUUGAGUGCAGACAUGAUUCUCUGUACUGAUGUAAAAGGCAGAAAUAAAUGAUGUAAAUAGUUUUCUGUCUGCUUCUUUCCCUCCCUGGGGACACCAAAGGGGAGAGAGGAAGAACGGUGUGUUCCUCUCAUACAUCUGAGAAGAAUCGCCGGACCUCGCCUGCUUAUCAGCAGAGUGGAGACGCGGGGAGGUCGACAGGAAUAUCUGCCGGUGCCUACGCUGUGGCACAUUCCUCUGACCCAGGCAGAAUUCCAACAUUGGCAGCCUUCGGAUGGUUCCGAUUCAUCGGACAUCUGCAUGAGAGGCUGGUGGAUUGUCCUCCUCUGCUCCAAGGAGGAAGAGAAAAGCGUCUGAAAGAAGCCAGAGGCUCCACAGACAGCUGGUGGAAAGAAGAGGUGUUUUCCCAAGCAACGGAGCUCAAGGUAUGCUGCAUUUCGGGCUAAAAGUGUGAACGCAGGAAGAUUAAUUCCCUGGUUCACGGAGCUGCGUUUCAAAGAAAACAAGAGCUCCGGAAGAAGAGGCCUGCAGCUUGAAGGCUGAAGCCUGCAUUCCACAAAUUUUUGUGGUAGAUAAGAUGUCCUAUUGAAAUGCAUUGUUGCUAGGUAACGGUCCUGGAAAGUUACUGGCAAAGGGGCUGGACUCUGAGAGUGAGCCUGGGAAAGCGAAACAAAAUCAGAGAAUGUUUUGGCUACAAGUUUAUGUGCUCUUGGAAGGGACUUUUCAAUAGCAGCCUGAGUUUAGCUGCCCGGUGCAAAAGCACAAACAACUUGCAGUUUGCCUGCGUGAGAAAGAAAAAACUGCUGUUGGAUUUUGCAGCUUGUUUGGAGGUGAGAGAGGCUUGGCUUCAAGAUGGAUGCCAAGAAAGGGGAGGUUUGCCUUGCCCACCUCCCUUAACCAAUGACAAUUAUUCAUCUUGGUCUGUAAAGAUGAAGGCCCUGCUGCAGAAUCAGAGGCUUUUUGAUGUAAUUGAAAACCCCAUCCCUGCAGCACCAACCAGAGGUUGGGAGUCACAGAAUGUAAGGGCCAGGACUGCUAUAAUUCUGUGUGUCUCAGAUGAUCAGUUGGUGCAUGUUCAGCAUUUAGAAAAUGCGAAAGAGGUAUGGGACACGCUGCGUACAACGCAUCAGAGAGAUGCUGGUUCUUCAGCGUUGCUGUAUUUUGAGAAAUUGACCAAUCUGAGACUUGCGCCUGAUGGAGAUGUUCAAGCGCACCUGACAGAAAUGAAGUUUCUGCGUCAACAGAUGGUGGAACGCAAUUUCCGUCUUCAGGAGGAAGUGUUUUGCUUCAUGAUGAUAAACAGCCUUAGCCGCACCUACAAGGUUGUUGCCAGUCAGCUUGGUUCCCUACCGGCCGCGCAGCUGACCGCGGAGAGAGUUUGUGCUGUGGUCCUGAAUGAACACGACAGACUUGCUGCACUGGAAGAAAAAGACAGGGGGAGGGAAGAACAGAGUUCUAAUUCCCCCACUGCUGAUGCUACUGGAGAGCAUGGUGUAGCAUUGAAUGCUGUCCGAUGCUACAAUUGUGGGCAGACUGGGCAUCUACAGCGAAACUGUAAGAAGCCGCGCCAGUCAAGAGGAGCAAAGAGCAGCUCUACGAAGCCUCAGGCGUCAGGCAAAAGCCGUUCCAAGUGCCAGGUGAAACCUGCAAAGGCUAUGAUGGCGAAAGGAACCACGCCAGAUGUUGGCAACUCGUUCAUAAUUGACACGGGCGCAACGGUUCACAUGUGCCCGCACAGAGGACUGUUUUCGACGUUGAAGAAGCAAAGCUUCACUGUGAAACAGGCCAACGGUCAGGAGUUGGAAGCAACUGGAAUUGGGACUGUGUAUCUUGAGAGUCUGAACUUGACUAUAAGUGAUGUUUACCUGGUUCCAGAACUGAGAUUUAAUCUGCUGAGCGUGUCGCAGAUUGCAAAGAAAGGACUGAAACUGUCCUAUGAUGCUAAAAGCUGCAAGAUCUACAAAGAUGGAGAACUGUUUCUUACUGCCAAAGAGAAAGAUGGACUGUAUUUGUUGACUUUUGAUCAAAGUGAUUACAUGAAAUGUAAUUCUGAUGUUUCUAACGAAAUCUCUCUUGCAGGAGUGACCAGUGUGAGCACCAGGAAGGUGACUAAGACCAAGAAGGUCGACAGAGCAUUUCAGCGGGUGUAUGCUGAUGUGAUUGGUCCUCUAGAACCAUCUAGAGGCGGUGCACGAUUUUACCUUGUGUGUGUGGAUUGUUUCACUAAUUAUUCUUGGGUUUAUAUGAUGGAGAAACCGCAAGAAACUUUAGAAAAGUUUCAGGAGUUUUGUGACAAGGUUAAAAGUAUGCAUGAUGCUAACAUUGAUUGUCUUUUCACAGAUGAGAAGCAAAUUUUUCUGUUGCAGAAGUUUCAGAAGUUCCUGGAUGGAAAAGGGAUAGACCACAAAGUGGCAGUUUCGCAAGAAGCAUGGAACAGGGGGGUCUGUGUAAAAGUGAACAAAGAAUUGCAAAAGGGGAUGAAUGCGCAAUUGCUGAGUUCACAUUUGCCACAUGAAUAUUGGGCUGAAUCGCUAGCGUCCUAUCUUCAUGUGUGGUUGAGAAAAGUCUCAACAGGGUUGGGAUGUUCUCCUUUGAGAAGCUGUUCAAUAGAAAACCUUCUGUUGCCUAUUUUAAGGUUUUCGGGUCUCAUGUGAGAACAGAAGCUCCAGGUGGAGUAAAGAAUGCCAGAGGCAUUUUCGUAGGUUAUGAAAAAGGUCUCUACAGAGUAAUUUUGUCUGAAUCUGGUCAGGUGAUUCUCACAAAGUUCCUAGAGAGUGCUCCAAAGCAAGAGCGGAUAGUACAGACAUUUCCCACAGGAAACGAUUCUGAUGAUGAUGAUGAUGAUGAGUUUGAUCUUAUUGAGUUCAGUAGUACUGAUGAUGACAGCGAUAGCUCAGACAGCUCAGUUGUCACAGUCAUUGAGAGGAAAUCUCACAUAAUGACUAGACCCUCAGAAGAGGAGGAUGAACCACUGAUCGCUACUGGUUCUCAACAGAGUCCAAAGAUUGAACCAGUGAGCACAGAAGGUCAGAACCUCAUACGCAGGUCUGAAAGAGCAACGAAGGGUGUACCACCCAAGAGGUAUUCAAAGGAGUUUGCUAACCUUGCAUAUGUUGCUAUUGUAAACGACCAAGGACAGCUUGAAGCUGUGUCUGAGUCAGAGACAAAGGCACAACAGAGAGUUGUUAACCAAGGUAAUGCGAAGUCACACAACCAGAGAGGUACAUUGGUUAAACCAGUGGCGGGUAGUUCCAAGGGUGGAACUGAAACAACAGGGGAAUGUUAUAAAUAUAACAACUGUUUGUUUUCUUCUCUGGAUGACGCUUUGCUCGCAGCACACAUUGAUACUUUAGGGGGAGUAUGUUACCAUAAAGCACCAAUGCUGCAGCAAGCAAAGGCUUUAGCAGCUCAGCCAGCUGCUUGUGGCUGGAAAGCCAGACAGGAUGUUUGUGACUGUUGCCAUGGGAACAAAGGGGCAGUCCAUUCUGUACUGAGCACCGGAUGUUAGCUCAGUGUGUGUGUGUCAUAUGACCCGUACUGGAUGUACUUGGGAGGAGUUUCUUCUUGCUGUUGUUGAGUGCAGACAUGAUUCUCUGUACUGAUGUAAGAGGCAGAAAUAAAUGAUGUAAAUAGUUUUCUGUCUGCUUCUUUCCCCUCCCUGGGGACACCAAAGGGGAGAGAGGAAGAACGGUGUGUUCCUCUCAUACAUCUGAGAAGAAUCGCCGGACCUCGCCUGCUUAUCAGCAGAGUGGAGACGCGGGGAGGUCGACAGGAAUAUCUGCCGGUGCCUACGCUGUGGCACAUUCCUCUGACCCAGGCAGAAUUCCAACAAUUCUUCCUCCAUUGUUGGAGGCAGUUUGCCUGAACGCCAGCUGCUGGGAAUCACAGGUGGGAAGAGUAACCCUGGUCCUGCUUGCAGGCUUCCCAUUAUCCUAUAGGCACCUGGUUGACCACUCUGGGAGCAGAGUGAUGGAUUAGAUGGGCUAUUGGCCUGAUCCCGAUGAGCUAUUCUUGUGUAUUCUUGUAGUGUGUGCUGUUUUGGCUGCUCCAGAAGGGUAGACAGCAGGGGAAGUGUUAAGUUGUGGGUGAACAUAUCAGACAACACAGCGAUUCUUCAAACAGCUCUUGUUUAUUCACAGGCCAGAACAGAACUGAACUGAAGGGUUCAGCCAGCCUGCUUAUAUAGAGCUCCACUAGAAUGCAACAGUAACCAUUUUCUGUAACUAUCCAAUCACUGAACGUCACUUUCAAUCCCUUAUUUGCAUAUGUGGACCUGAACUAUCUACAGCAUCCCCCUGCUGGCCCAGGGUGAGAACUUCAGUACAUAACAGAAAGGUGCACAACAGGAGAACUAAAAUUGCCAUCAUCACUGUCAGGGAAUGUAAAGUAUUUGGAUGGGUUUUAGUCAGGAGGGGGGUGGGAAUCAACUGGAUUGGGGAAUAAGGGAGGCAUUUUUGAUGAGGAAUAAUCAGGGCAUGUGGAUUUGCCAAUAUCUUGAUCUACUUGAUCCUUUUUAUUUUGUAGGUUUGAGCUUCAUCUUUAAAGGCCAUCAUUUCCUAGUUUUCUCUAAUCCUCAGUCAGGGCAGGAAAUCUUCAAUGUGCUGAAGAGAAAAGUCCCGGCAUCAUCGCCAACCUUGUUAAAUAACUACAAGGAAUCUAAAUUGUAGUCCAACCCACCAGCUGGCUAGAGAAGCAGAUUUGGCAACCCGGCUCACUGUCUCAUUCACUACAGGGGUGUCAAAAUCUCUGGAACAAACCCUCUAAAUUUUACAUAUGCCGCUUAUUUUAAACACUUAAUUAUUAUGAAGCAUCAAGGAUAAUUAUGAAAGUGAAUCAAACUAGUGCAGUCAAGAAUCAUUAAUUAUAGGGUUUGCAAAUAAUCUCAUACAAGCGUGAAUUUUUUGAAUUGGAUAUAGUUUACAUUGGAGUUAUGAAAUAUAAUCAAAUAAUAAUCAUUAUGUUAAGAAUCUUUGAAAUGCCAUCAACUUUCCUGUAUAUAAUUUACUACUUCUCCUCUUCCAAUUUAUGUAUGUGCACACAUGAACAAAUACUCCUUUAAAAAUCAUGUGCACAGUAUUUAGGAUUGGGAUGGAGGAGGCCAGGCCCAAAUUAACACAAAAUGAUUUUUUUAUAGCACAGGAACAACUUAUGAUUUCCACAUAAGCACAAAUUUUUCUGUGUUCCAGUAUUUUUUUUAAGUGCCUAUUUUUCAUGUAUUUAUCUUCUUGUUGCUUAAUUGAUUAUUUCCUUUGGUAGGUCAAUUUAGUUAACAAAACAAUUUCCCAGGACUUCUGUAUGCACUCUCAAUGUAUGGGGUCUUUCUUCUUUCCAUAAUUGUGCGAUAUACGGUAUAUCUUAGCUCUCAGAAGUAAGCUGGAAACAGGCUGCAAGUCCAUGUCUCUCACUUUUGUUUUUAGUAAACAAAAAAGUAAAUAUUUUGGAUUUCUUGAUAUGGUCUGUUCUUUGUACUGUGUUAAGGACUUUGCCCCAGAAAUUUCUUAUUUUGAUGCACCUCCAGAAAAUGUGAUAUAAUCUGCUUUUAAUUUCCUGCAUCUCCAACAAAAUAGGUUCAGCUGAUAUAUCUUAUUUAAUUUAUGAGGAGUGAAAUACCUUUCAUAUAUGGAUGGGGGGGGGGAAUCUUUCAGAUUAGCACUUGUAAGUGUUCUCAGAACUGAUUUGAAUAACCAGGACUGUGAUAUAGACAGAUUGUAAUUUGACAGAUCACAAUGAUAUUCUGCAAUUUAUGAACGAUACAGUGCAGUGAGAAUUGCACAGUCCUGCUAUCUGUUAUGCAACAAAUCAGUAAAUUCUAAUCCAUUUAUGGCCCUAGAUUAAAUUCCCUGGGAUGCAUUAUUACACAGCUCUGCUCAGUGCUUGGCAAAUCACUAGAGGGCACUAUUGUUUUCUUUUACACCAGUUUAAAAAGUUUGCUGUUUUUAACCCAGAGGAACAAGAGUUUUCAUUUACCGUAUGUACAAGUUAGAAACAUACAGUAUUGAAGUCAGUGUGGGGAAAGGCAUGCUGGUGUAACAGAGACCUACAGCAUUUGAUAUUCUCUAUUGAAGGUGUAAGACACAUGUAGGAAAUAGAGAGAUUGAGGCUGUAACCUUGUAAAAUUUAAAGGUAAAGAUAAAGGACCCCUGACAGUUAAGUCCAGUCGCGAACAACUCUGGGUUGCGGUGCUCAUCUUGCUUUACUGGCCGAGGGAGCUGAUGUUUGUCCGCAGACAGUUUUUCCGGGUCAUGUGGCCAGCAUGACUAAGCUGCUUCUGGUGAACCAGAGCAGCGCACGGAAACGCUGUUUACCUUCCCGCCGGAGUGGUACCUAUUUAUCUACUUGCACUUUGACGAGCUUUUGAACUGCUAGGUUGGCAGGAGCUGGGACCGAGCAACAGAAGCUCACCCCGUCGUGGGGAUUUGAAUUGCCAACCUUCUGAUCGGCAAGCCCUAGGCUCAGUGGUUUAGACCACAGCGCCACCCACGUCCCCUAUAAAAUUUAGCUUUGAGUAAAUGUCAUCGAACUAUGUCAGAGUAGAUAUGCAUAGGCUUGUGCUGUGAGAGAGACGACCGCAAACACGCUGCUACAUGAUCAACCAUCCCAUGCAAAGCCACCUCUGCAGACUAGUACUUCUGCAGCUCC